CCCACCACAGCAUUCCUAGGCAAAGGACUCUGCUUCCCCACCCCAGAGUCAGCUCCUCCAUCUAGGAAUCUCCUGGGGUGAAUGCUGCUCUUGGAGGCACCUGUCCUGCAUAGCCCUGGACACGUGACUCCUUUACCUGAUUAUGCUGGGGGCUAUCUCCUGCAAGACGGCGAAACUGAGUCUCAGUGAGUGAACUCCCAAGGUCACAGAGAACAAGCGGAGCCUUGGCCCAUGCCACCAGACUUCUAAACUGGAGAAAUGAGGCACCAUGGAGCCAAGUGUGCAUGCC
rnacentral:lncRNA from 1 species